CCCUUGUAUUAUUUUCUUGUGCCAAAAUAUUGUACACUCAAUUGCACCUUUUACCUCUAUCUAUCCAAAUUUCAACCAAAUCUUGCAUAUUUUUCUCCUACAAAAAAUUAACCAACUUGUUAACAUAUAAUCUUAGCAAGUUAAGUUAAUUAAUACGAUAAUAUUAUGGCAAGUAAUUACGAAGAAAACUAUGAUCUUAAGAAGCGUAACAAAGAAUUAGAGAGAAAAUUAAGAGAAAGUUUAGUAAGAGAAAAAAAGACAAAGGAAGAAUUGUAUAAAGCAUUAGAAAGGGUUAGAGUGGCUGAAGAUGGAGAAGAAAUGCUUUGUUCUCAAUUAGGAGAUCUUGAAGCUGAAUCUGUCGAUCAAGCGCGUGAUUUUCAAGCUCGAAUGUUAGCUUUGAUGGAUCAACUUUCUCAUGCUCAACAACUUCUUCAACUUCAUUCCAUUUCCAUGCAUUAAAAAAAGGAUCAUAUGUUUAAUAUAUACAAGUGCCGGGCUUGUCAUCGGGGUGUUUUUACUUCCGAUGUUUAAAAACACGACAGCUGUCUGUAUGGUUGUGUAAUUUGAACUAGUAACGUGAAAGUUAUAGGGGUUUUUUUUUAUCGCCUAUGUGAGUUGAGGUAGUAUAUUAUAUUAUUGUACAUACAUAAAUGGAGGAGUAUAUAACUACGUAACUCAUAAAUUUUGGUGGUUAUGGAUUGUCUUUCUUUUUUUUUUUUUUUUUUUUGGGUUUAGUGAAUUAAUGUAACUCCUUGUUUAAGAUUAUGAAAUAUUUGUCUAAAAAAAAUUUAAAUAAAUAAAUAAAUAAAUUGUGAAA